rnacentral:rRNA from 1 species
GACGAACGCUGGCGGCGUGCUUAACACAUGCAAGUCGAACGGAAAGGCCCUGCUUUUGUGGGGUGCUCGAGUGGCGAACGGGUGAGUAACACGUGUGUAACCUGCCCUUGACUUUGGGAUAACUUCAGGAAACUGGGGCUAAUACCGGAUAGGAGCUCCUGCUGCAUGGUGGGGGUUGGAAAGUUUCGGCGGUUGGGGCUGGACUCGCGGCUUAUCAGCUUGUUUGUGGGGUAGUGGCUUACCAAGGCUUUGACGGGUAGCCGGCCUGAGAGGGUGACCGGCCACAAUGGGACUGAGAUACGGCCCAGACUCCUACGGGAGGCAGCAGUGGGGAAUAUUGCACAAUGGGCGGAAGCCUGAUGCAGCAACGCCGCGUGCGGGAUGACGGCCUACGGGUUGUAAACCGCUUUCGCCUGUGACGAAGCGUGAGUGACGGUAAUGGGUAAAGAAGCACCGGCUAACUACGUG